CGCGGCCUAUCAGCUUGUUGGUGAGGUAACGGCUCACCAAGGCGACGACGGGUAGCCGGCCUGAGAGGGCGACCGGCCACACUGGGACUGAGACACGGCCCAGACUCCUACGGGAGGCAGCAGUGGGGAAUAUUGCACAAUGGGCGAAAGCCUUGAUGCAGCGACGCCGCGUGAGGGAUGACGGCCUUCGGGUUGUAAACCUCUUUCAGCAGGGAAGAAGCGAAAGUGACGGUACCUGCAGAAGAAGCGCCGGCUAACUACGUGCCAGCAGCCGCGGUAAUACGUAGGGCGCAAGCGUUGUCCGGAAUUAUUGGGCGUAAAGAGCUCGUAGCCGGCUUGUCGCGUCGGAUGUGAAAGCCCGGGGCUUAACCCCGGGUCUGCAUUCGAUACGGGCAGGCUAGAGUUCGGUAGGGGAGAUCGGAAUUCCUGGUGUAGCGGUGAAAUGCGCAGAUAUCAGGAGGAACACCGGUGGCGAAGGCGGAUCUCUGGGCCGAUACUGACGCUGAGGAGCGAAAGCGUGGGGGAGCGAACAGGAUUAGAUACCCUGGUAGUCCACGCCGUAAACGGUGGGCACUAGGUGUGGGCAACAUUCCACGUUGUCCGUGCCGCAGCUAACGCAUUAAGUGCCCCGCCUGGGGAGUACGG
rnacentral:rRNA from 1 species